rnacentral:lncRNA from 1 species
UUUUUUUUUUUUUUUUGCUUUUUGCCAAAAAUUUUAUUGUUUAGUGUUUGGGUCCAUACUGCUUUUAUGAGUUGUAAUACUCACCCCAAAGGUUUGCAGCUUCGUAUUUGAAGCUAGAGGCCCCGGAUGUAUUGGCAGGAACAAACAACUCCAGGUGUGUUGCCUUAAGAACUCUAACACUCACCACGGAGGUUUGUAGCUUCACUCGUGAACCAGCGAUACCAUGAACCCCCCAGAAGGCAGAAAUUGCUAACAUAUCUGCAUAUAGGAAGGAACAAACGGGGCGCGCUCCCGCACACGCCGCCUUUAAGAAGCUGCACCAUUCUCUGCAAGGGUCCACUGCUUUAUUCUGUGAGUAAGACUAAGAACCCAGUAAUGGCGGACACGUGGGGAUUCAGAGGAGCGCAGGACGGAUUCUGAAUGCUGUUGCUCGGGAAGCUGAAGAUGUGCACACAGGGCUUCUCCGCAGUAAGGGGCUUGGUCCCUGAACCAUGCUCCGUUUCUUAACUGUUCCCAGGACCCAGCGUCUGUUCACCCCAUGGGGCCACGCCAUUCCAGGAGCCACAGGAAGCCAGCACUGCUAGGUUGACCUCAGUCCUUUAGCCAGGACACAGCUGUGGGCACUAUGCGGUUGCCGCUGGGUUCAAGGUAGGACCUUCUUCACGUAUAAAGGGAGAAAAAGUGAAGGAAUGGUUCCUUUUUCCAACUACUGAUUUCUCCUCUGCUUGUGGUAGCUGUGUGGGGAUAGUAAGGGGAUCGUUUUAAGAAAAACCUACAAGGUGGGCAUGGCAGUGUUCUGGGUCCCUGAUGUCACUGGGUCGCUUGUAAUCAAUCUCCAGCCUUCAGCCUGGGGCUGAAGUAAUAAGAAAUGCCACCGCUUCUCUGACAUAUCCAUGUCUGAGGUUUUGAUUUGCUUUUGGCAAACAGGCACAGAAGUUUUAAGUUCAGCCUAGGAAAGUCUCUGCUUGUUCCAGAGUGUUCCAGAGUCAGUUCCAGGUAGUAGUAGGGUAAACAGGCUUGGGGGUGUGCGGACGAGGCCAGGAGCCAAGAUGUCAUUCGGGGAUGGCCAAGCUGUAGGCGCAAGGCAGCCCUGACUAUGGGGCUGGAGUGCGUCCGUGAUGAGGUGGUGUGCCUGGCAACUUGCAGGUGCUUUUGGGAGGACCUGGGGCAAAUUCUUUAGUUCUUCCAUGGCUGUUUCCACAAAUGUGAAAUGGCGAUAAUAGAGCCCACCUCAGAUUAAAUAGAUUCCCAUGUGUAAGGCAGUCAUGGUGCUGGGUGUCAAAUGUGCUACAUUAUAACUGACCUGUGGCCAUUUCUUUUUUUUCUUGAAAGAAAUUAAAAAUAGCUAUAAUUUAAUGAACACAUGAAUGGUUGGGCAUUACACAAUAUGCUGGAUAAAUGUUGCUUAAAUUCACCCAGCUUGGUCUCACUUUCUGAGGCUUCCUACCAUUUUUGAACUAUCCCAAAUGCCUUUGUCCUGAGCCAGUUUCCCCAGAGACUCGAAGCAUCUGACACUAAAAGUCAUGUAGCUCAGCUUCAAUGAAUGCACAAAUGCGCCAGCCAGCAUCCCAGGAGAUGACUGCUACAGCCAGGGCUGAACACCUAGUGGGCCUCCCAUCCUGGAAUGGGAAGGGCCAGGGGAAAGGACUCUGAGAACACAGGGGGCUACUGCGUUACGAAGCAAAACCUUUAGUGGAAGGGAUGGCAGUGCUACCAAUGGAACUGAGCAGUGUGUCUGCUCCAGCAUGGAGUGCCCCCCUCCCCUCCUUGGGUGCACCUGCGUGUGUCCUCCUUGUCUCUCCAUGUGGUUGACCUGGGGAGAAGAACCUACAGCUGCUCUCGGCACGACUCCAGGGGAGCUGGGAGACAGACACACAAGCUCACUCAAGGAAACAGCAGGAAGCCAUAGCCUGCUACGGUGAAAGUCCAUGUGGGGUCCUGGCCAGAUCCCAGGGACCUGGGGAUGUUGGCAAGGCAAGGGUGCCUUUUUCUGAGCAGUGCUUUUGGUGAACUUAGCAUCCUCAUCACCUGGGUCCCUUGUCAGUUACAAUUAACGUGUGCGAUCUGGAUUUCCAAUAACUCCCAGCAUUUCUGCAGUCGUUACUGGUCUGCUAAGAAAUCUCUGAGGACUCUCUGUGGCUCACUGAAUUAAAUGCAGCUUUUGAUGGGAUUUUGGAACUGGUGACACAGCUGCCUCUGGCAAGGAUCAGACACACGGCCAGCUGCCCUUUGCACACAGAGCCCUGAGCCACGGUCUGCGUGUGAGCCUGACUCGUUUCUGGCACAGACUCACCCUGUGAUGCUCCGGGGGCCAGCUGGGAAUGCCGCUGCUGCCUCUUUCAGGAGGCCAGCCCCCAGCGCUGCCUCCACGGGCCAGUAGGGCAGGGACGCUGAUGAGUGCCCGUUCUUGCUUCUCAAGCUCUUAAGGCAACAAUUCCAUUACCAUCGCUAGUUCUCGCUCCAGCACAGGGAGGACGGAAUGGCUCUGCCUGUCAUCAGAUGAGGGGAGUCCACUCAGGGCUGUUAGUCCUUUAGCAAAGGCCACAGAUGGGUGAGCAGCAGAAACGACAUGGGAGCUGAGGCCGGGACCCACAGCCAACGUGCUUUUGCUCCAUCAAUUGAGAUGAUCAGUUUUUCUUUUUUAAAAAAAUCUUUUCAGAAGAUGAAUUACAUUCGUUAAUUUUCAAACGUUGAACCAACCUUUCACUUCUGGGCCUCUGGAAUUGAUGAACUUUCUCUGAGCUGUGACCCAGGUGGAUGGAUGUCAGAAAGCAUAUUCCGCUGGAAGGAAGAGCUGAGCAGUAGUGAAGUCAAGGACAUACAGAGCCAGAGUGUGAACAUGAGUCCUGCUACUUACUGCCUUGCAGUCUUACGGAAGUCACCAACCUCUCUCUAAGCCCUGAUUCCUUCCUCUGCUAAAUGGACGUGGCGGUAAGCUAGCCCACAUGUAUCAUAAGGCUGUUGUGAGGAUUCAACGAGGCACUUCAUGGUGUGCCUCGCACAUGGUAAGUCCCCAGCAAACAGAAUUAGCAGGACCUGACAGAUGGUUUCUGACAAUGUGUUUACCAAUACAGGGUUAACCAGAAUGUAAGUAUUUUGGGUGUUAACAGUAGAAAUAUGAAAAUGUUGAAAUAAAGACACUUAGGGAAAAAUGUCAAGUAAAUUACAACUUACAUUAAAGGCAGAUUCUUUAUUGGCUGAAUGUGCUGUAGUAGAUAUUUAAAAUAUCACAAACAUUCAUGAUUGCAGUUUUUAAACUUAGCUCACAGUUGAGUUAGAUACAACAGUUAACAUACUUAGGAAAGACAAUUCUUAACAGCUUUAUCAAGCACAUUUGUGAAAGAUUAAACUUUCAUUUCCAGUUACCAUGAUGUCCCCCCAUACACCAAAUGAACCAACACAUUUAUUUAUUUUAAAUAAUGGAAACUGUACAUGGCUACACUGUGCUCUAAAAUUACUUGCAUUAAUGAGGACAUUAAUUUUAGCAUUUAAAAAAAGAGAUUUAAAAAUAACCAUAGAAAAACUUGAAAACCCUGACAAGCCGACUACAAAGAGAAUUCCUCUCUGAAAAUUUUCAGAUGCGACGGUAUGAGGGAGUUGGGUGGGCCGCUGACUCUGAGAGAAGUCCCGGUGACCUGAACCUAUUCCAGUGAAGCCAGUCAGCAGUGAAUGUGGGGCAAGUGCAUGCGGCUGGUCUACAGCUCCCAUUGCCUGGUGACCAAGGAGCAUCCUGAAGUUUCAGAGAAGAGACUGUGUGACAGCAGCAUUGUUCCAGCUACUGAGCAAGAUCCUUCAGCAGAUGGAGUUUUGCUCUGUCGCCCAGGCUGGAGUGCAGUGGCGCGAUUUCGGCUCACUGCAACCUCCACCUCCCGGAUUCAAGCAAUUCUCCUGCCUCAGCCUCCUGAGUAGCUGAAACUACAGUCUUGCAAGAGGAAAGACACUUUGAAACACUGCCCUGAAAGGGCCCGUGUCCCACAGAGAAAUUCCAUUUAGUUCCUGUUUUAGGGUUUCUAUUUCUCCGCCGAGAUUUCCCACCUACUGAUUUAUGAGGAGCGCAGUUUCCUUUACAUCAUCUGAUGCCGCUGUGUUAAAAUCCUUGUCUGCUAAUUCCAAUACCUGGGUCAUCUUAAGGGUGGCUUCAGGUGAUCAUGUUUUGUAUUAGGAAUAAGUCGUGUUUUCCCAGUUAUUUGUGCAUUUCAAUUAAAUUUGAAUUCAAUUAAAUUUGCAUCCCGGACAUUGUGAAUGUUAUGCUGUGGAGACUCUGGAUUCUGUAAUAUAUCUCUAAGGACUGUUGAUUUUUUAUUUGUUUGUUUUAGCAAGCAGUUAACUUAUUUGGACUCUAACUCUUGGCUCUUGGGCAGCAUCCAAUUCUUACUUCAGUUCUUCUAGCCUUCGCUGGGCUGGCUGGAGUGGAGUCGGACCAUGCAUAUGGAGAGACUCCUCUAUGGGAUACCUCUCUCACCUAGCCGUAGUUGUGGCUGCUCCAAAGCCUGUUUUUCAAGCCAGAAAGCACGUUUUGUCUUGGAGUUUUAGGCACUCCUGGACCUGGCUUUAGGUUAAAAUCCAUAAGAAAUAAGAAAUUCAUGCGGGUGCCAUUUCCUCUAGAAUCUGCCCACCAAUGGUCGUUCUCUGGUGUCUUCAGGGAUUUUUUCAAAAUUAAAAAAAAAAUUUUAUUUUUUGAUAUUUAAGUUUACAGUUGUUAUUUGUGGUGGGCUGGCCUGAUAGGAGCUUCCUCAGCCAUGGCUGGACGAAGGGCACUGCUUUUUGAAACUCACUGCCACGCUGCCAGCCAUCACAUGAGGAGCUCCCAGGCAGAAGUGCACGCUUCCAUCUGCAGGCAUGCCUAGCAACUACCAGCUGGUUAUGUGCAUGCCAAAGUCAACUGGUGUUUACGGCAGUUAUAAUUAUGUAAUUUAAACAAAAGAGACAGUUAUUUGUUGUUUCUAUGCAAACUGCACUGAAUGCUUUCAAAAGACUUAUUAAAAGCAAGUUGUUAAAAAUUUCCUGCGGAAUGGAAUGUCAUGAAGAUAGUUGGAAAAUAAAAAUAAAAAUCACAAAACUUUUGAAGGAUUCUGCAUUCAGAUAAUUUGGCAGAAGUCUUUAAGAUCUUGCUCUACUGUAAAGAAACAGAAACUCUGAAACUUGUAGACAAUGCUUCAUGGGUAUGGCUUAUGCAAGAAAGAAUAUGAACUUCUUCAAUCAGUAGAUCCAUUAAAAGAAGCCUGUCAUAUCAUAAGAUUGAUGACUAAAAACAUUUUAUAUGCUUUAAAUAACAACAGAAGUUCAAUAUGAAAUUGAAUGAUUUUGU